CAAUAGCCCUGAUAGUAAUGAAAAGCCCGGAGCAAUAAAAAUGUAGUUUUUGUUGUUUUAAAAAUGCGACCUAAGAAGCACUUUUUAAAAUAUAGAAAAACAGCUUUUUAUGCGAGGACUUGUAAUGAAUAGCAGGAAUAGCU
rnacentral:misc_RNA from 1 species